GCAAAUUCAGGUUUUUGUCGACAGCACCGUUAGGGUUUAGAGCUCGACGAUUCUUGUUGGCUUUCAUGACUCUCAGCUUUUCUGUUUGUCUCACCAUUUGGUUCAAUAAUUGGUGGUUUCUUCCGUUCAAUAAGCAUAUAACAUGCAAAGCCAAGUAAUCAGUCAACUGUUAGUUUCUCCAAUUUAACCAAAAUAAAAUUUGUCCUCAUUCUCCAUGGCUGCUUG
rnacentral:misc_RNA from 1 species